rnacentral:rRNA from 1 species
AUUGAACGCUGGCGGCAUGCUUUACACAUGCAAGUCGAACGGCAGCGCGGGCUUCGGCCUGGCGGCGCGUGGCGAACGGGUGAGUAAUGCAUCGGAACGUGCCCAGUAGUGGGGGAUAGCCCGGCGAAAGACGGGUUAAUACCGCAGACGACCUGAGGGUGCAAGCGGGGGACCGAAAGGCCUCGCGCUAUUGGAGCGGCCGAUGCCGGAUUAGCUAGUUGGUGGGGUAAAGGCUUACCAAGGCGACGAUCCGUAGCUGGUCUGAGAGGACGACCAGCCACACUGGGACUGAGACACGGCCCAGACUCCUACGGGAGGCAGCAGUGGGGAAUUUUGGACAAUGGGGGCAAACCUGAUCCAGCCAUGCCGCGUGCGGGAAGAAGGCCUUCGGGUUGUAAACCGCUUUUGUUCGGGAAGAAAUCCUCUGGGCUAAUACCCCGGGGGGAUGACGGUACCGGAAGAAUAAGCACCGGCUAACUACGUG